CAUUCAUUUUAGGGAAAAAAUUAUAGCUGAAAAAAAUAUUUUUUAUUGCAUUUAUGGUAAAAGACACACUUGUCUAAAGUGUAGUAAAAGUGAAAAUUUUAACGUUAUUUUUACAGGUAUAAUAACUCUACGCUGGUAAUAAAAUUCAAUUUUAAUUAAUGAAAGUUGUAGAAUAAUAAUGACGCUAACGUUUUGAAAUAUUAUCUAAUAUUAAAUUAUUUAAGGUAUAAGUUUAUCAAGUUCAAACAACCUGUAGUCAUUUUACUAUAUAUAAUUAUGCGCUAAUUAUCUAAGAAUAAAUAUUGGUUAUAAGAUACAGUAAAGUACAUAAAGGUAGAGCAAAUUUUUUGAGAUGAUUUUGUUGUCCCUGUACUCAUGCCUAUGAUUAUUAAUUUGGACUAAUAGACUUAAUAGAGUUGCAAUAUGAUGACCGAUCCAACACAAACUUUAUCGUUGGAAGAAAAUCCAAAUCUUCUAAGUUAUAAUGCAAAAUAAUUAAUUGCUAUAAAGUGUUAAGAACUCUCAAUCAUCGAUGUUAAACAGUGAAAUAGUUAUGAUGAAAAGGU